GGGGAGUUAGCUGAGAUGGUGUAGCGCAGCCCUGAAAAGGCUGAGACGCGGAUUCGAGCGCCGCACUCCCCACCA
rnacentral:tRNA from 1 species